AGGAUAAACGCUGGCGGCGUGCAUGAGACAUGCAAGUCGAACGGACGAUCGAGGCUUGCUUCGAUCGUUAGUGGCGGACGGCUGAGUAACGCGUAGGUGACCUGCCCCGAAGUGGGGAAUAACUGCCCGAAAGGGUGGCUAAUACCGCAUGUGGUGGUGUGUUCAAUCACACCAGUAAAGCCGCAAGGCGCUUCGGGAGGGGCCUGCGUCCGAUUAGCUCGUUGGUGGGGUAACGGCUCACCAAGGCGACGAUCGGUAGGUGGUCUGAGAGGACGAUCACCCAGACUGGGACUGAGACACGGCCCAGACUCCUACGGGAGGCAGCAGUCGGGAAUUUGCGCAAUGGACGAAAGUCUGACGCAGCAACGCCGCGUGAGGGAUGGACGGCCGUUCGGGUUCGUAACCGUUCUUUAUCGAGGUAAGAUAAUGAACGUACCU
rnacentral:rRNA from 1 species